AUACAUGCAAGUCGAACGAGUUCUCGUUGAUGAUCGGUGCUUGCACCGAGAUUCAACAUGGAACGAGUGGCGGACGGGUGAGUAACACGUGGGUAACCUGCCCUUAAGUGGGGGAUAACAUUUGGAAACAGAUGCUAAUACCGCAUAGAUCCAAGAACCGCAUGGUUCUUGGCUGAAAGAUGGCGUAAGCUAUCGCUUUUGGAUGGACCCGCGGCGUAUUAGCUAGUUGGUGAGGUAAUGGCUCACCAAGGCGAUGAUACGUAGCCGAACUGAGAGGUUGAUCGGCCACAUUGGGACUGAGACACGGCCCAAACUCCUACGGGAGGCAGCAGUAGGGAAUCUUCCACAAUGGACGCAAGUCUGAUGGAGCAACGCCGCGUGAGUGAAGAAGGCUUUCGGGUCGUAAAACUCUGUUGUUGGAGAAGAAUGGUCGGCAGAGUAACUGUUGUCGGCGUGACGGUAUCCAACCAGAAAGCCACGGCUAACUACGUGCCAGCAGCCGCGGUAAUACGUAGGUGGCAAGCGUUAUCCGGAUUUAUUGGGCGUAAAGCGAGCGCAGGCGGUUUUUUAAGUCUGAUGUGAAAGCCCUCGGCUUAACCGAGGAAGCGCAUCGGAAACUGGGAAACUUGAGUGCAGAAGAGGACAGUGGAACUCCAUGUGUAGCGGUGAAAUGCGUAGAUAUAUGGAAGAACACCAGUGGCGAAGGCGGCUGUCUGGUCUGUAACUGACGCUGAGGCUCGAAAGCAUGGGUAGCGAACAGGAUUAGAUA
rnacentral:rRNA from 1 species